rnacentral:rRNA from 1 species
CCUACGGGGGGCUGCAGUGGGGAAUAUUGCACAAUGGGCGCAAGCCUGAUGCAGCCAUGCCGCGUGUGUGAAGAAGGCCUUCGGGUUGUAAAGCACUUUCAGCGGGGAGGAAGGCGGUGAGGUUAAUAACCUCAUCGAUUGACGUUACCCGCAGAAGAAGCACCGGCUAACUCCGUGCCAGCAGCCGCGGUAAUACGGAGGGUGCAAGCGUUAAUCGGAAUUACUGGGCGUAAAGCGCACGCAGGCGGUCUGUCAAGUCGGAUGUGAAAUCCCCGGGCUCAACCUGGGAACUGCAUUCGAAACUGGCAGGCUAGAGUCUUGUAGAGGGGGGUAGAAUUCCAGGUGUAGCGGUGAAAUGCGUAGAGAUCUGGAGGAAUACCGGUGGCGAAGGCGGCCCCCUGGACAAGGACUGACGCUCAGGUGCGAAAGCGUGGGGAGCAAACAGGAUUAGAUACCCCAGUAGUC